rnacentral:pre_miRNA from 1 species
UCCUGCACCGCUGAAGUCAAUGGAAGUUUUGUCAUUGACUUCAGUAGGAGCAGGAUU